GAUAUAUUUUACAAAGUAAGUUUGUGAACUUCAUUUUGGAUUGAACAUAUUUUCGAUUCCUCUCUUUUCCUGUUACACUUAACAUUUUUUGUUUUGUUUUGUUUAUGAAACAGGGUCUCACUCUAUCACCCAGGCUGGAGUGCAGUGGGCAAGAACACGACUCAUUGUGGCCACGACCUCUCGUGCUCAAGCAAUCCUCCCACCCCAGCCUCCCAGUUCUUGUUCCCUUUCAUGGGAAUCUGUGCUGUGAGUGAACUCUGGCUUUGGAGGUUAAUGGAGAUUCAAGGUGCCAACCUACAUUGGGUGAGAUGCCAAGACCCUGGAAAUGAGCAAAGAUCCCAAUUUUCAAGAAAGAGAGGAAGGAACUGAACCUCUUGCUAACUUGAUGUUGCCCUGAAAAUACUUUUGGUUUGAGACUGUGAGCCAGUGUGGUUGGACGGCCGUCCUGAGCAGAACUCCUGGCCAUGCGGUGCCCAUCCCACCUUAUGGUUGCUAUCAUUCACCUGACCCCUGCCGGACCGUUCCCGUUCUUUGAGGGCAUUUACGCAACUCCCCUUAACCCCGGAGACCACUCAUUCUUCCGAGCUGCCACUUCCUCGGUUCUUGCCUAUACUAUCUUGUACUGAUAAUAUCUUCCAUUAGUAUAUCACCUGUCUCACUAACUAGAUUGUACUCCCAAGAAGAAGGACUCUCUAAGUCUUCCAUCUCUAUUAAUGGGUAAGAAUUUGAUGAUGAAAACAGCUUUACAGCCCUGGCAAGACCCCAUCUCUACAAAAAAUUAAAGAAUUUAGCUGGGCGUGGUGAUGCAUGCCUGUGGUCCCAGCUACCCAGGAGGCUGAGGCAGGAGAGUUGCGUGAGCCUGGAAGCUUGAGGCUGCAGUGAGCCCUGAUGGCACCACUGCACUCCAUCCUGGGUGACAGAGUGAGACCAUGUCUCAAAAAAUAAUAAUAAUAAAAGCAAGCAGCUCUAGAGUGUGAAGCAGCUGUGGCCAGGCAGUGGGUGGGCAACAUGAACAUGGUCUGCCCUGUAUGUUGAGCUUGCGAAACCCCACUGAAACCCGACAGCUUUUCACAUGAACUGAUGAAUAUGACCUGCAGACAACAGAUAACUCAGUUGUCCCUUUCUUUGUCCUCUAACCAUCUCUCCCUGUCUCUGUCUCUUGCUCUCUGUGUCUCCCCAUUUGAACUGGGCCUUUGAACACAGGGUUGUGCAUUUGCCUCUCUUCUCCUGCCUCUCAUAUUUGUUCUAAACGUUGUCCUCUUGUGUAUUCCUUUUCUUUCUGCUGCCAUCCUGGAGUUAGGCAAACUUCCUUCUACAUAUUUUUCUGUAGAAGGAAUGUACUGAUUAAAGGGGUCAGGGAGGCAGCUGGCAAAGAUAUCAAGAGAAGUGACAUCAACAGCAUCAUACCCCACAAAACAUAACAUCUCAGGAGCAUCCUUCCUACCCCUCCCCUUUCCAAUAGCGAGUUUGGUUAAUAAUGAUUAUUGUUUUCCUUUUGUUUUGUUUUGUGUGAGAUGGAGUCUCGCUCUGUUGCCCAGGCUGGAGUGCAGUGACAUAAUCUUGGCUCACUGCAACCCCCAUCUCCCGGGUUCAAGCGAUUCUCCUGCCUCACCCUCCCACAUAGCUGGGAUUACAGGCACGUGACACCAUGCCUGGCUAAUUUUUGUAUUUUUAGUAGAGAUGGGGUUUUGACAUGUUGCCAGGGCUGGUCUCAAACUCCUGACCUCAAGUGAUCUGCCCACCUCAGCCUCCCAAACUGCUGGGAUUACAGGCUUGAGCCACCUCACCCAGUCAAUAAAAAUUAUUUUUUAAAUCUCCGUUUAAGAAGUCAGAGUGAUAAGAUUAGGGGACCUAUCUCUUCAAAUUUUUACGUAUUUUCCAAAUUCUUUAUAAUGAACUCAUAUUCCUUUUAUAAUCAGAGAAGAACAAUUUUUAAAGCAAUGUGGUACGCAAAACAUCUUCAGACUUCUAUGGAAAAUGUAAUUACCAUGAACUUGAAACCUGGACUGCUGAAAUCAUCAUCUCGGUAUGCUGAUACUGUUAAAAAAGAUGAAAGGGCGAUUAAAUUAUAGUCUUGAUGGGCAGAGUGGUGAGGAAUGGAAAGAUAACUCCUAUUUUUCCCUCUACAUAAAAACCACAUAGCAAGUCCAGAAGACAGACCCUUCAGCUGAUAUGAGUGAUUCUGCUGGAGUGAAACCCUGGGGAUGCGUUUGCCAAAAAGAUUUAGGCUCCAGGAACCAUGAGAAAAACUAAAGAAUGUGGAAAGAGGGAUAUAUUUGAAACAAAACUGAGGAGAAAUAAUUUUUGUUAUACUUUACAACAGUUAUAUCUUUGUAAAAUAUGAGUUUUAGAGCUCAUAAGUAUGAAAGAAAUAAACAGCAUUUGGCAUGAGCGAGGA
rnacentral:lncRNA from 1 species